UUAGUCCAUCCAGUUAUUGUUUUAUUAUCAAAAAUGUAUAAAUUUUUUAUGUAUUGCUUCAAGAACAACAAAAUAAACAUUUUAUUGUAAAAUUAAUGUUUUAUUAUCGACAAUGCAAAGAUUUACAUAUCUACAGUAGCGCGUGACAAACUUUUUUCGAGUAAUAUACUAAAUUCUAUAAAACCAUGAAUCUUUAAUGAUAUCUUGUCGGUAUUUUUAAUAAUAAAAUAAUAACUGGAUGAAUUAAAAUCACCGUAUGAAUUAAAUAAUUCAUGUAAUUAUAUUUUCGAUGCAGUUAAAUGGCUGAUAAUGUUAACAUUCUCCAAUUACCUUCGGGCCCACUUGAUCACAAAAAUUACUCAGGACUGUCUGUCUUUAAUAGUAUCUCGUCGGUGACUUUAGCUAUAUAGUCCACGUUCCACAAGUUACAAUCAAUCAUAAUGUUCGCACCAAGGAGAUAAGGCGGCGUUACGUUGACGUCAUAAAUUCAAAUGAAUUGUAUUGCGCGUUUUCACAUAUGUAUAAAUGGUGCAAAAUAACACAUUUAAAAUUUGUUGACUAGGGCUAGGUUCCAAAACGGUGAAAAAUUUCCUGUGCGAGGAAAAUUUUACUCGAUGGCCGGCUUGAAACGAUCAGAAACACUUAAGAAAGUUUCGGAACGGAUAUCGGGUAAAAUAUUUCCUCGGAGAGUACGUUUUGGAAUGCAGCCUAGUUUUAUCAAAAUCGAAAUUCGAGAAACAGCAAAAUUCAUUCGCCAAAUUGUUUCUAUGGCCUGGAAUAAAGUCACAUUUUUUGACAUCCAACAGUUUUUCUGCCAACUCUGUCAUGACAGCUCCUAUAUAAACAAAAUUGUAUUCUCUCUAAUAUUAAUACAUAAACAGUAUGCAACAAAAAAUUGCAGACAUAUAAUUUUAGACAUUCGACCGAAAGAAAUGGCGGAUCUGCUAUGACCAAAUCAAAUUGACUAGACAUAUGUUUGGGCACAUUUAGAGGAGACUUGUAAUCAUAUUGUAUAAAAUCCGCACCAAAUGUCUUGAAACGACUAUCA